rnacentral:hammerhead_ribozyme from 1 species
AUCCAGCUGACGAGUCCUAAAUAGGACGAAAGCGCGCGUCAAACCUGGAU